UGGGGAAUAUUGCGCAAUGGGGGAAACCCUGACGCAGCGACGCCGCGUGAGCGAUGAAGGCCUUAGGGUUGUAAAGCUCUGUUUUAAGGGACGAAUGUUACGGGGAGUAAUAUACCCUAUAAAUGACGGUACCUUAAGAGGAAGCCCCGGCUAACUACGUGCCAGCAGCCGCGGUAAGACGUAGGGGGCGAGCGUUGUCCGGAAUUACUGGGCGUAAAGAGCACGUAGGCGGGAACUUAAGUCAGGUGUGAAAGACCGGGGCUCAACCUCGGGGGUACACUUGAAACUGGGUUUCUUGAGGGCAGGAGAGGAGAGUAGAAUUCCUGGUGUAGCGGUGAAAUGCGUAGAAAUCAGGAGGAAUACAAUUGGCGAAGGCGACUUUCUGGACUGAACCUGACGCUGAGGUGCGAAAGCGUGGGUAGCAAACAG
rnacentral:rRNA from 1 species